rnacentral:lncRNA from 1 species
CAACAGAUUUUGAAUAAACAUGAAUAGAGCAGUAUUUUGCUUUGAGAUAUCAGCGCAUAAGCAUUGGAAUGACAGCUUAAUAACUCUUAGUACCGAUAUAUUACUGACAGGUAACAGCAUAUUUUUCACAAUAUGGAGUGGUUUUCGAAAACGAUAUCUUGGAAAGAAACAUCUACGGCAUUGCAUAAAAACAAACUGAAAGUAUAACUGUGUAUAUGAAUAAAGUAACACAUCUAAAAAAAGGAAAUUGCAGCUGUACAGGAUUUUUUGUAAGAAUACCUUCAUAGCCACCGUACACUGGAUCUUCGGACAAUAAAAGAGGUGUGUCCAGGUCAAUAAAACUGCAAUCACAAAAGAACAAGAACCAUUUAAGCACCUGAUCUGACAGACAUAAGGUCUAAAACUUCAUGUCAUCAUUUCUAGUUUGAACUUCCAAGUGAUAUUAUCUUUAGUUCUAAAAUACCAUACUUUUCACAAGUAAUCUUUUUUGCAGGAAUUUGCACAUUUAACCAACCUGAAACAACCAAGCCCAGCAGUGAGAUGGCCGGCAAAGCCCAUGGCAAUCCUAGUCUCGACCAUACCACCAAUCAUAAGUGCAAUACCAGCUUUUCUUGCGGCAUCAAUUACUUCGAGGGCUCCAAGAACCCCUAACUUUGCCAGUUUGAUGUUAAUAACAUGAGCAAGAUUUCCAUGUAUUAUUUUUUGAGCAUCAAGUAAACCGCGGCAGCUUUCAUCAGCAGCAACAGCAACUCUGUAUUUCUCCAUAGCAGCAAUGCUAACAUCACGGAGACCUUCCCAGUCAUCUCUAUGAACUGGUUGCUCAAAGAGUACAGGAGUUACUCCCAUUUCUGAAACCAAUGAAAUAAAUAAGUUAUACUAGAAACACCAUAUAACAUCACACUGACUGAGAUAUUAAGAGUGAAAAGACUGAACAAAGUGAAAGUACACACCGUUUAGUCUGUCAAGGACUUCAAUUGCUUGGUUUGCUGUGUACCCUUCAUUUGCAUCCAAGAUAAAUGAGCAGUCAGGAUGGACAAGCCUUAUAGCCUUCAGAACUUCAAUGUCUGAGUUCAAAUUUUUUCCUACUUUGAGCUUCAGAGUUUGAAACCCUUGUCCCCGAUAUUUUGCAGCCAAUUGAGCGGCUUCAUUUGGGGUAACAAUUGGAAUCUAAAAUUCAGAAAUAGAUGAAUUUAGCAGUUUCAUUUAAGCAACCGUAAGAUGCCGGACUUGCUGCAAGGAUACUUCGAUAACCAUACCGUGAUGUCUGUCGUCACACUGUUCGAUGCUCCGCCAAAUAAUCUCCACAAGGGUAUGCGGAUGCUGUUAGCAACUGCGUCAAUCACUGCCAUCUCCACUCCUGCCCUGGCCUUUGUUGGAGAAGAGCACAAGUAAAUGCUCAUCAGAGGAAGAUUCUUGUAUACAGAUACUUUUGAAAUCAUGAAAAAGAGUCAGGUACUCCCUCCGAUUCAUAUUAGUUGUCGCUCAAAUGGAUGUAUCUAGCACUGAAACAUGUCUAGAUACAUCAGUUUAAGCGACGAGUAAUAUGGACCGGAGGGAGUAAUAUAUUUGACCAAGUUCCAAGAGAAACAAUUAAGCAGUUCUAUGUGUACUAAAAGAAUCAAGCUCUUUAAGAACUGAGAACCAGCUUUCCGCUGGAAGGUAGAACUUCUCUGAUUUUGGAUGUAUUCUGUUUGUUACUGCUGGCUUGUGCUGAGAGUCCCUUAAUUGCAUUUUAGAGUAAAAUUUGUCUUCGCAGUUAUCAUUUAUUUUGGGAUCAGGGCAUGAGCCAGUGGUCAACCACCUCAAUCGGUUCAGUUUCAUAAAGGUGAGAUAUCUAUCUAAAUCAAGGCCUAGGAUCCAAAAACCAAUUCCCCAUCCUUCCAUCAACAUCCUCUAAAAGAACUGACUUGUAAACUCUGAAGUCUGUCUAAAAUAGUGUGAAUAGUGUGAAUAGUGUGAAUAGUGACCUAUAAUAGCAAAUAAAUUUUGUCUUUUUUGCUGUGAGGUCAACUUUUGUUUUUUUUUUCAUCCAGAUUUUUUUACUAGUGCAAAAGUAAGUCAAGUGUUUUGUCAAAAUAGUUCUUACCUAUUUUGACUUUUUAUUAAAAUAAUAAAAAAAAAUUCCAUAUAGGGUGUAUAUACACCCAGGAACCAAAGUGUAUUUCCCGAAAUUUGAAGUGGUUCUUAGUCGAAGCAUGUGAUUCCCGCUUCAUGUUAUAGUGCCUUAAAGUUGAUUUGCAUAACUAAGAAAGCUUUAUGUCUUCCUCAUGGUGGUUGCAUCUUUUCAAAAGCAAGACUCGCUGCAUUUUGCUCGGCAAGGUCGCGUGUGCCCUUUAAAAUUUCACCAUUUAUCUCCUGUAGCAGUUGGAGAUAACACGUUAAAUGCGCCAUAAAUUAUUUUCUUUCAUAAAAGCAAAGAUUUUGUGAUCUUUUGGUCACUGCUUCUGGACAGGCAAUAUACACAUUAGCGGAACCAGUGGGCCUUAAAAGUCACUCUUUGAAUAGUUUUUCAGACCAUUAAGUUGUCAAUCUUUCCAAUGAUGAGGCUCCAAAGUUUAUUACAUUUCCUGGUCUGCAUUUGUAAAAAAAAUGUGGCGACUUAAUUAUCAAAUUAUUCUCCAUCAUUCUUUGUGAUUACUUAUGUUAGAAAUUACAAAUAUGAAAUUCACAUAGGAUGUUACUUUAAGAUUAACUAAGGAAAUAGAAAAAAGAGAGGUGGUAUUCCUCUUGCUCUAUAAGAUUGCACAUGUUCAUCAUUUCGGUUGUAGCACAAAUAAAAAAGAGGCAAUGUGAUCAAUUUAUGGUCAAAGCAGGCCCUCCGCAUUGGAAUCGACUGGUACCAGAUUAUCAACGCAUGAUUUUAGUGAACCGCUACACUGUGGACUUGGAGACAUGAUUUUUACACUAUAUCCUUGAUAUUCUUUCCUUGUGCCUCAAAAUACCUUCAUAGAUGGAAUCAUGGUGAAGAUAUACAAAAGGGUGCACGGACACGGUAAACUGCUGAAAAUCCUAACACUAAGAUGCAAAAUAAAAGGUAUAAAAUGACGCAAAAAUUUGACUCAUAAACUCCGCCUAUGCUUAAAGUUUUGCUUGUCCCCGAGCAAAUGCAGUAGCUUGUAGGGACAAGGUCAUCGUGUUCCUGAGGUGCAGGUAAAAGUAAACGAAUUGGUCUGUUGCAUGAAAUAAAAAUCCACAUAAGAUACAUGAUCAUGACGAGUAUUAGCACAUUCUCACCACCAAGGGAAUCAUGAAGUCUUCCACUUGAUCUUUUAGCAAACGCGCUACAACUGUAUGAAAUCGGUCAUUCAUCUUUCAGCCAAGCAAGUAGUGUUGGGCCCACCUUAUUAUACAUGUCCUUCUCAAAAUGUCACGUUAUUGUUUUUCUUCCUUUUCAUGAAAGGGCAAGCUUAUAUGCCCAUAUCAUAAUCAUUUAUUUUAACUUGUGACAUGUAAGUUAAGCAUGCUUCCUUGAUAUGAGAUCCGGAUGUUGUAAAAGCUUUAAUAUAUAUUCAUCUUAAGGUGUUGCCAUCGUGCUUUGCUGUUUCGUGUAACAGCCUGAAUCGAAUAUGAAUCGUGUUCUACCAAGUUGGAUAUAAUGUCACUGCAUUGUAAAUAAGUUAUGGUGUGUUGUGAUUCUUUGCUUUUCGUAUAUAAUGUUCUAAAACUGUGCACUUUUCCUUCAUCAGGUCAACCUAUCGAAUUUGAAGCAUGACCUACCGUGUUCGAUGGUCACCAGGUUGGAUAUGACCGCACCCGGCAGGGGUGCGGGGUGCGGCAAGCCGCACUUUCCAUCUAGUAUUUGUAACUUUGAACAAAAACAGCUUUUGUCAAUAGUUUGGAAUUCACAUAUAAGCACAAGGUUAACAACCUUGGAAAGGCAUGUACAUUGCAACCAAAUUUUGGUCCAUACUCUUGUCCCGGUGGGCCGAUGAUGACUCUGGCUCCAUUGGCCCAAUUUUUUAUGAAGUCAACCCAGAAGAACCAUCAGCCUUGAAUUUUUGCGUCGGAUGAGUGCCCCAAUGGGCAACAUCGGACCAUUCCCAUCAUGAGUUUUAUUCCUUGUGGAGAUAGGAGAAUAUGGUUUAGAAAUUCACUUUGGUGCACGUGCUCUAGUGAGCCCUAUAUUUUGAAUACUGCCAAAAUGAUAUUUUUGAAGUUUCAAUUUUUUUUUAUGCAAUAUGUUCAUAUGGCUGUAUAUUACACAUGUGCAAAUUCCAUGAUGAAAUAAGUAAUCAUGUGAGAUACAAAGAAAUCAUAAAUCAUGAUUCUAGAAAGAUGAACAUUGCAUGUAUUAUCACUAUUUAAAAUCACCAUUUUGUCGUUUUUGUAUAUUUCAUGACGAAACAUACACAUGUAUAAUAUACAUCCAUAUGUUCAUGUAGAAUUAUUUUUUGUAUUUUCUGAAAUUUAAAUGUGAUUUUUAAUCAAAAGUACCCUUUUGAGCUCGAGCUCAGUUGAGCCCGGAUGAACAAUAAGUUUGAAAAAAAAUCAAACCAAAUUAAGAAAAAAUGAUUUUUUUGUGAUAUACUUUGACAAAUGUUCUAAGUUUUUGCAAAUUUUCAUGAUGAGAUCACACUCGUGGAAAGUGUGGGGAAAAUAACAAAAUUACUACUCCAGAAUGCUUUAAAAAGCACUCCCUCCGUUCCAAAAUAAGUGUCUCAACUUUGUACUAGAGCUAGUUCAAAGUUAUACUAAGCUUGAGACACUUAUUUUGGGACAGAGGGAGUAGCAUUUUCGGAGCAUCAAUUUUGUUUUUGUUUUCACACCUUCCACGAGUGUCAUCUCAUGAUAAACAUUUGUCAAAGUAUACCGGGAAAAAAUUCAGAAUUGUUUGAAUUUGUUUUCAUUUUUUUUGGAAUUUACUGUUCAUCCGGGCUCAAAUGAGCUCGAGCUCAGAUACUCCACUUCCAUUUUUAAUAAACUAUAUAAAAUGAGGUGCUCGAAAAAUCCACAACGUGGUUGAACUUUCCAAGAUCGAAGCAGCUUGUUGCCACUGCGGGCCAAAGACAAUAUUUGUUUCGGCGGAGGAGUAGCGGCGCGAGCGCUAUAUCUUGCAUUAAGCGAGACGGAUGGUCCUCUCGCUGAAGCGUCGGGCAUACUCGGGCCAGCCCACUAGCAACAUAAGGGGCUCAUGGGAUUUGAUCCCUGGUUGCUUCAAUAGCAAAACGAGCUGCAAGCCGCUGCGCCACUGUUGCAUUCGUUGAUGCAUAGGAGGCAUGGACUACUUGAGGUAAAAGACCCGAGUAUUUUUCCUCCAUUUUGUUUUUCAUUUUUUCGUUUCUUCUCUUGUGGUUUGAGGGGAGCGCUGACUACUUGAUACAUAGUCGACAUUUUUGUUUCUUCUAUUUUUUUCUUAUCCAUUUUCUUCAUUAUUUUUUCAUUCAUUUUUUUGCGUUUUGUUUCUCUGUUUUUCUUUUCUUUUCGGUUUUCUUUGUUCUUUUGGUUAUUAUACUACAUUUUUGGUAUAUGUCAACAAUAUUUUUCUAAUACUUGUCUAACAUUUUUCCAACACAAAUUGAAUAGUUUGUAAUACAUGAUCAAUAUUUUCUGUAUACACAUUUUUCAUAUUUUAAAAUGCUCUAGUAACAUAUUUUCAAAACAAGAUUAAAAUUUAUCGUUACCUGGUCAACAUUUCUAAUAUUUUUAAAAUGCUUGAUUAACAUUUUCAUGCUAUUGUUGUUAAAAGAACUUUACAUUUUGCAUCACAUUCGCACCAGUAGCGGUGGCUAGCUUCCACACACACACACAAAAAAGAGUGCGGUGUCUAUCGCGUCAACCAGUUUCUUUAGAUAUUAGGGAGCUUUAUUUUUAGUUCACACGUAACUGCACCAGUGGUCUAGUGGUAGAAUAGUACCCUGCCACGGUACAGACCCGGGUUCGAUUCCCGGCUGGUGCAAUUGUUUUUUUUUUCCAUUCUUUUUUACUGUACGGUUUUCCCAUUGUUACUGAUAACUGUUCAAGCAAAUUUGUUUGAAGGUCUUUUCUUCAGCAAGAGCUUUUCUUAAAGCAAAAGAGAGGCAUUCCUCUUCGAUUUCAUUUACAGAAAUGAGAAAUCACACAAUCUUCAAUUUAGCAAAAGAGAGGUCUAAUCCCCUCCCACCCUUCAAAACGAGAUGCUCGUAGCCUCGUACACAAAAUCUUCUCUUUCACUGAUUCACAAAUGCCGCAUAAUUCGACGAUAGACGCCUCAGAAACAUGGAAAUGCACAAUAAACUUUGCUAGCUCAAGGGGCAGUCUCAUUUAUUCCAGAAAAAUACAAAAGGAGAACACUGAGGGAACAGUUACUGCUUGUACUACACUACAGCAACAAUGCCAGCCGAGCUGGCCUUCUGAACUUACCUAUCUACAGGACUUACAGCAGUACAUAAACGGGAGCUUUACCACUAUAUAUAUGGCUUACAAUUGAUUGUGUUACAUUUCAGUUCCACACGGUAGUCGUCGCGUGUGAUAACUUCUACAUUCUAUACUGAAUGCGCUGAUAUGCUUUAUAAAGUUCCUCCCGGAGGAUAAGGCGUGCGUUAACCAUCUUCAUUUCUGGAAAAAAAAAUCACAUGUUUGCCUGUUUAGACAUAGUACCAAUAAUAAGAUUAAAGAACAUGGUACUUUUAAUAGGCAAAUCUUACGCGUAUUUUCAUUGUUAAGGACAAAGUCCCUGUUGUCAGAUCAUGUGUAGGUCAGAGGCCAGGUAAAGUAUCUGGCAGGCAAAUUUAAGUUUACUGCAGCUCUAGACAAUGUUUGCAACUGGCUAUAUUUUUUGGUGACCACAAUAUUUUGAAUCUUGAAAAGUACUCCCUCCGUCCGGAAAUACUUGUCAUUGAAAUGGAUGUAUCUAGAUGUAUUUUAGUUCUAGAUACAUCCAUUUUCAUCCAUUUUGAUGACAAGUAAUUCCGGACGGAGGGAGUACAAACAAUAUCUACAGGAAAUGGCGGUUCAUGAGUGAGCUGUGACAUACCCAUCCAUUAUUGUUGUCCAAAUGAAGGAAACCGCCAUGGCCUCGAGCAUUCUUAAACUUGUAGACAGGUCCAGAAGCUGAUAAUAGAAGUCGGGUAAGACAGUAAGUACAGGCCAGAGAGCAGAGAUAAUAAUCUGAUUUGAUUGAUUUAUUACUCUGAAGAUACAACAGAUUUUGAAUAAACAUGAAUAGAGCAGUAUUUUGCUUUGAGAUAUCAGCGCAUAAGCAUUGGAAUGACAGCUUAAUAACUCUUAGUACCGAUAUAUUACUGACAGGUAACAGCAUAUUUUUCACAAUAUGGAGUGGUUUUCGAAAACGAUAUCUUGGAAAGAAACAUCUACGGCAUUGCAUAAAAACAAACUGAAAGUAUAACUGUGUAUAUGAAUAAAGUAACACAUCUAAAAAAAGGAAAUUGCAG